AGAGUUUGAUCAUGGCUCAGGACGAACGCUGGCGGCGUGCCUAACACAUGCAAGUCGAGCGAGGUAUUUGCGACUGAUUCCUUCGGGAAGAAGCUGCAAAUCACCUAGCGGCGGACGGGUGAGUAACGCGUGAGGAACCUACCUCCUACAAAGGGAUAGCCUCGGGAAACUGGGAUUAAUACCUUAUGACACUUAAGAGUCGCAUGACUUUUAAGUUAAAGCGUUUUAGCGGUAGGAGAUGGCCUCGCGUCCCAUUAGCUAGUUGGUGAGGUAACGGCUCACCAAGGCGACGAUGGGUAGCCGGCCUGAGAGGGUGGACGGCCACACUGGAACUGAGACACGGUCCAGACUCCUACGGGAGGCAGCAGUGGGGAAUAUUGCACAAUGGGCGGAAGCCUGAUGCAGCGACGCCGCGUGAGUGACGAAGGCCUUCGGGUCGUAAAACUCUGUCCUAAGGGACGAUAAUGACGGUACCUUAGGAGGAAGCCCCGGCUAACUACGUGCCAGCAGCCGCGGUAAUACGUAGGGGGCGAGCGUUGUCCGGAAUUAUUGGGCGUAAAGGGUGCGUAGGCGGCCUUUUAAGUCAGGUGUGAAAUCCAUGGGCUCAACCUGUGUAAGCACUUGAAACUGAAAGGCUUGAGUUAAGGAGAGGAAAGUGGAAUUCCUAGUGUAGCGGUGAAAUGCGUAGAUAUUAGGAGGAAUACCAGUGGCGAAGGCGACUUUCUGGCCUUUAACUGACGCUGAGGCACGAAAGCGUGGGGAGCAAACAGGAUUAGAUACCCUGGUAGUCCACGCCGUAAACGAUGAGUGCUAGGUGUUGGAGGGAUUACCCUUCAGUGCCGCAGCUAACGCAUUAAGCACUCCGCCUGGGGAGUACGUGCGCAAGCAUGAAACUCAAAUGAAUUGACGG
rnacentral:rRNA from 1 species